GUUGGAGUUGCUAGUAACCGCAUGUCAGCAUAGUGCGGUGAAUACGUUCUCGGGGAUUGUACACACCGCCCGUCACGUCAUGAAAGUUGGCAACGCCUGAAGUCGAUGGGCUAACCGCAUUUAUGUGGAGGCAGUCGCCGAAGGUGGGGCUGAUGAUUGGGACGAAGUCGUAACAAGGUAGCCGUAGCGGAAGCUGCGGCUGGAUCACCUCCUUUCUAGGGAG
rnacentral:rRNA from 1 species